rnacentral:rRNA from 1 species
GGCGCAAGCCUGAUGCAGCGACGCCGCGUGGGGGAUGACGGCCUUCGGGUUGUAAACCUCUUUCAGUAGGGACGAAGCGCAAGUGACGGUACCUACAGAAGAAGGACCGGCCAACUACGUGCCAGCAGCCGCGGUAAUACGUAGGGUCCGAGCGUUGUCCGGAAUUACUGGGCGUAAAGAGCUCGUAGGUGGUUUGUCGCGUUGUUCGUGAAAACCGGGGGCUUAACCCUCGGCGUGCGGGCGAUACGGGCAGACUUGAGUACUGCAGGGGAGACUGGAAUUCCUGGUGUAGCGGUGGAAUGCGCAGAUAUCAGGAGGAACACCGGUGGCGAAGGCGGGUCUCUGGGCAGUAACUGACGCUGAGGAGCGAAAGCGUGGGGAGCGAACAGGAUUAGAUACCCUGGUAGUCCACGCCGUAAACGGUGGGUACUAGGUGUGGGUUUCCUUCCUUGGGAUCCGUGCCGUAGCUAACGCAUUAAGUACCCCGCCUG